AGGACAGAUGAACUCUACAGCAAAACUUUUUGCAAGUUUGUGUGAAUAAUAAUCAGAAAACAUAAUGGAAAUAAAAUGAUAGCUUCCAAAAAAAUGGAACAAUGAACUGAUCAACAAAGAAAUUGAAAUUUAAAAGAUCCUUUACUGACACAGGAGAUUUGAUAUCAUCUUGUGCUUGUACUUGCUGCUGAAGAUUGUAUCAAAUGAGUUUUCCUUAUCAAAAUGAUUACAGACCAUCUUGGAAGGUUUGUGAGUCAGGACUUCCCCUUUACAGAGGCCAUUCUAUAAAGGAUUAGCAAGGAGAAUCUAUGAUUCAGUUGUGAGAAGUAACGCUAGGCACCAAUCUCACAAAGCAAAAUGAUAGAAGCUGAGAUGAUGAACUAGCUAUAUUUUGUCACUAUUGUUAGUUCAAUCAACAAUAAAGUUACUGCAAUUUCUAAAUGAUGCAAAAUGUCACCUCAAAAAGAUACCAUGGAGAAAGUUUUCCUUAAGUUGACCAAUGGCUGUUUUGAGGCUGCCAAUUUCCAGAUGUCCUUGAGUGGAAGAAAGAACCUUCAUAACCAUAAAAUUAAACAAAGGAGCAAGCAUUCAGUCCUUCAGUCCUAAAAACACCUAUGGAAACACUGGUGAUACAAUAACUCCACAAUUCUGCCCUUCUCUGUUCUUUUGAAGCUCCAACAUUAUUACAAGACUCUUAUUGAGGUCCAGAACCAACCACAUGACAUUGAUCAUUCUCAAGAGAGAUCAACCAAAGAUCAUUGCCAGCAUGACAAACUGCAUGUCUGCACAAUGCCAAACAGCUAUACUACAGUAAUAUACAUAUAGUGCACUUAUAUGGGGAGAAAAAUGCCGGGGAGUGAAGUCUAAUAAGUCAAAGAUCUGGCUGGAUCCCCAGAGCAGUUCUGCUGCACCACACUAUACUGCUGAACCAGUAACUGUUCCUAUCCUUGUACCCAUAAAUCAGUGGUAUCAAUGUCUAUCUGGAGAAAAAUGUGAUCUCAAAACUCAGAGGAGCUGAUUUUAGCAAACUCCAGAAAGCUGUCAGAGAUAAGUCAGUAUGGCAUUUGUCACAGGGACAGCUGGUUCUGUGGAGACUGUUAUGACACUGCUCUCUCAUGGCAGCAAGUUCACAUCUCUUUCUGGAGUCUUGGGUUUUCCUGAAGACACCUUAAGGGCAUAAAGUAGUCUUUUGCAUGAGUUCUCAAGAGUGAACUCAAAGAAGUGGAGACAGAUCUCUAUAUUAGAGUGAUAUAUAUAUCGGUUAUAAUACAAAAUUAUUAUAGAUAAAUUAGAAUAACAAAAUUGCAACAUUUUCCUCAUUCAGUUAAUUAUCUCCAUAUUACCAACCCAAAACUUUCAUAAGUCAUGAAUCUGGCUUUCCAAUGAUUGGCUUAAAGUUGAUGAGAUUUUUAAAAAUCUCAGAGGUUUGGAUUUUAGCUGGUCAGUACAUAUUCUUAAUAUUAUAACGUCAGGAAACAUGUCUAGAAGGAAACUAACUUUGAAAAAUGAAAAAAGCACAAAAUGGCACCACAUCUUAAAAAAAAUAUUUGUUAUUGCUUCACUAUACGCUUCCAUAAAAACAUAAGGUGUAAUAAAAAGCAUGUGAAAGUUGACAUACAUAUCCCUAUAAUACCAUCUGUAUUUAAUUAAAUACAAAAAUGAUGUGCAUUUUAAAAACUAUACUUCUUUUACCCCAUGAAUUGCCAUGCAACAUUUCAUUUUGAUUGCUGGAGAUUUUGUUUGAGUUCAGGGUAAACGUAUUUUUUUUUUUUAAGUAGUACCACCUUUCUGUCUACUUUUUGUGGACCUACACUUUCUAAUGAUCCUUUGUGAUGACUGAAAAGGAUGACUGAUGUGUUGUUGUUGUGUUUUUUUUUUCCCAAGAUACUUUUAAUUGAAUGUUUGACUGUUUUAUAUUCCUCUGAACCCUUCACAUCCACUAUUUCUGUGUUUAGUCUCUUUCUUCAUUUUAUCUGUCUUGUCAGUCAAGGUUAUGGGGAAGAAGUAGGUAUUUUAUAAUUUCGUCUUUUAAAAGAGGGAAAGGUGCAAAUACUGCUUUACUGUUGCUUUCUAAAUAGAUUCCAUUGGGUAAAAAGCAUAACAAAAUUAUUCAUAUAUUAAAUAUUAGCUUUAUGUAAGAUGGAUUUCUAUUCAUAUAAAUAAUAAAUUUAAAAUUCUGAAUUUGUCAGACAUAUACCUCACGUACAAUCCUUAUGAACAAGUCUUUGCAGUGUUAAGCAAUGUUAAGACAAGCAUGUCCUGGACCAAAAACUAUUGCAGUAAGAUGUUGGUUUACAUUUUUCUCCCCAAGCAAAUCCGUAUGUAUAUUCACAGCAUUACAAUUUAACUACUGCAAAUAGCCAAACUGAAAGUACUGCUUCAGCAUAAAACCAUGAGUAGGUUACAACUUAGCUUCUGAAUGAUAAAUUUCUUUAAAAAGUCUUUCAGAUGUUUUAAAACUAAGGAGUUUCUCAUUGCUGCACAGAAAUGUGUAUCAAUUCUACUUUCUCUUGAGUUCUAAAGUUAAAGUGGAAAAUGAAAAG